AGGAGUGGAGCCUGCGGCUUAAUUUGACUCAACACGGGAAACCUCACCAGGCCCGGACACCGGAAGGAUUGACAGAUUGAGAGCUCUUUCUUGAUUCGGUGGGUGGUGGUGCAUGGCCGUUCUUAGUUGGUGGAGCGAUUUGUCUGGUUAAUUCCGAUAACGAACGAGACUCUAGCCUGCUAACUAGGCGUAUUUCGACAUCCCAAAGGCCCGCCGGUUUGGGGUUGUUCGCGUUUCGCGCGCGACUCCCCUUACCGCGCGCGGUUUUUACUGUCGGCGUACAAACAAUUCUUCUUAGAGGGACAGGCGGCUUCUAGCCGCACGAGAUUGAGCAAUAACAGGUCUGUGAUGCCCUUAGAUGUUCUGGGCCG
rnacentral:rRNA from 1 species